UUUGCGAGCAGCCUCCGUGUGCCAAAAUAGGCCACGGGCACAGCCGCACCCAAAAAUAACCGCCCGAAGGCCGGGGUGCAAGUUCGUCCAGCGGAAAAAGGCCACAAAAACGGGUGGGCUAUAGCCUUGGGGGGUGGGGCUGGCCAACUUCGUCCGCCGGACUCGGAAUGGCGCGAGACUUUGCGAGGCACCUCCGUGUGGCAAAAAUAGGCCGUGGGCAAAGCCGUGUCCAAAAAUAACCACCCGAAGGCCGGGGCGCCAAGUUCGUCCAGCGGAAAAAGCCGACAAAAACGGGUGGGCUAUAGCCUUGGGGGGUGGGGCUGGCCAACUUCGUCCGCCGGACUCGGAAUGGCGCGAGACUUUACGAGCGGCCUCCGUGUGCAAAAAAUAGGCCGUGGGCACAGCCACGCCCAAAAAUAACCGCCCGAAGGCCGGUGCGCCAAGUUCGUCCAGCGGAAAAAGGCCACAAAAACGGGUGGGCUAUAGCUUGGGGGGGUGGGGCUGGCCAACUUCGUCCGCCGGACUCGGAAUGGCGCGAGACUUUGCGAGACGCCUCCGUGUGCCAAAAAUAGGCCGCGGGCACAGCCGUCCCCAAAAAUAACCGCCCGAAGGCCGGGGCGCCAAGUUCGUCCAGCGGAAAAAGGCCACAAAAACGGGUGGGCUAUAGCCUUGGGGGCUGGGGCUGGCCAACUUCGUCCGCCGGACUCGGAAUGGCGCGAGACUUUGCGAGCCGCCUCCGUGUGCCAAAAAUAGGCCGCGGGCACAGCCGCACCCAAAAAUAACCGUCCGAAGGCCGGGGCGCCAAGUUCGUCCAGCGGAAAAAGGCCACAAAAACGGGUGGACUAUAGCCUUGGGGGCUGGGGCUGGCCAACUUCGUCCGCCGGACUCGGAAUGGCGCGAGAAUUUGCGGGCAGCCUACGUGUGCCAAAAAUAGGCCGCGGGCACAGCCGUACCCAAAAAUAACCGCCCGAAGGCUGGGGCGCAAGUUCGUCCAUCGGAAAAAGGCCACAAAAACGGGUGGGCUAUAGCCUUGGGGGGUGGGGCUGGCCAACUUCGUCCGCCGGACUCAGAAUGGCGCGAGACUUUGCGAGGCACCUCCGUGUGGCAAAAAUAGGCCGCGGGCACAGCCGUGUCCAAAAAUAACCACCCGAAGGCCGGGGCGCCAAGUUCGUCCAGCGGAAAAAGCCGACAAAAACGGGUGGGCUAUAGCCUUGGGGGGUGGGGUUGGCCAACUUCGUCCGCCGGACUCGGAAUGGCGCGAGACUUUGCGAGGUGCCUCCGUGUGCCAAAAAUAGGCCGCGGGCACAGCCGCGCCCAAAAAUAACCGCCCGAAGGCCGUGGAGCCAAGUUCGUCCAGCGGAUAAAGGCCACAAAAACGGGUGGGCUAUAGCCUUGGGGGGUGGGGCUGGCCAACUUCGUCCGCCGGACUCGGAAUGGUGCGAGUCUUUGCGAGGUGCCUCCAUGUGGCAAAAAUAGGCCGCGGCUACAGCCGCGCCCAAAAUUAACCACCCAAAGGCCGGGGCGCCAAGUUCAUCCAGCGGAAAAAGGACACAAAAACGGGUGGGCUAUAGCCUCGGGGGGUGGGGCUGGCCCACUUCGUCCGCCGGACUCGGAAUGGCGCGAGACUUUGCGAGGCCACGGGCACAGCUGCGCCCAAAAAUAACCGCCCGAAGGCCGGGGCGCCAAGUUCGUCCAGCGGAAAAAGGCCACAAAAACGGGUGGGCUAUAGCCUUGGGGGAUGGGGCUGGCCAACUUCGUCCGCCGGACUCGGAAUGGCGCGAGAAUUUGCAAGCGGCCUCCGUGUGCCAAAAAUAGGCCGCGGGCACAGCCGCACCCUAAAAUAACCGCCCAAAGGCCGGGGUGCCAAGUUCGUCCAGCGGAAGAAGGACACAAAAACGGGUGGGCUAUAGCCCUGGGGGGUGGGGAUGGCCUACUUCGUCCGCCGGACUCGGAAUGGCGCGAGACUUUGCGAGCGGCCUCCGUGUGCCAAACAAUAGGCCGCGGGCACAGCCACUCCCAAAAACAACCGUCCGAAGGCCGAUACGCCAAGUUCAUCCAGCGGAAAAAGGCCACAAAAACGGGUGGGCUAUAGCCUUGGGGGGUGGGCUGGCCAACUUCGUCUGCCGGACUCGGAAUGGCGCGAGACUUUGCGAGGCACCUCCAUGUGCCAAAAAUAGGCCACGGGCACAGCUGCGCCCAAAAAUAACCACCCGAAGGCCGGGGCGCCAAGUUCGUCCAGCGGAAGAAGGCCACAAAAACGGGUGGGCUAUAGCCCUGGGGGGUGGGGAUGGCCUACUUCGUCCGCCGGACUCGGAAUGGCGCGAGACUUUGCGAGCGGACUCCGUGUGCCAAACAAUAGGCCGUGGGCACAGCCGCUCCCAAAAAUAACCGCCCGACGGCCGGGGCGCCAAGUUCGUUCCGCGGAAAAAGGCCACAAAAACGGGU
rnacentral:lncRNA from 1 species